UGACUGCGUACCUUUUGUAUAAUGGGUCAGCGACUUAUAUUCUGUAGCAAGGUUAACCGAAUAGGGGAGCCGGAGGGAAACCGAGUCUUAAUUGGGCGUUAAGUUGCAGGGUAUAGACCCGAAACCCGGUGAUCUAGCCAUGGGCAGGUUGAAGGUUGGGUAACACUAACUGGAGGACCGAACCGACUAAUGUUGAAAAAUUAGCGGAUGACCUGUGGCUGGGGGUGAAAGGCCAAUCAAACCGGGAGAUAGCUGGUUCUCCCCGAAAGCUAUUUAGGUAGCGCCUCGUGAAUUCAUCUCCGGGGGUAGAGCACUGUUUCGGCUAGGGGGCCAUCCCGGCUUACCAACCCGAUGCAAACUGCGAAUACCGGAGAAUGUUAUCACGGGAGACACACGGCGGGUGCUAACGUCCGUCGUGAAGAGGGAAACAACCCAGACCGCCAGCUAAGGUCCCAAAGUCAUGGUUAAGUGGGAAACGAUGUGGGAAGGCCCAGACAGCCAGGAUGUUGGCUUAGAAGCAGCCAUCAUUUAAAGAAAGCGUAAUAGCUCACUGGUCGAGUCGGCCUGCGCGGAAGAUGUAACGGGGCUAAACCAUGCACCGAAGCUGCGGCAGCGACACUGAUGUGUUGUUGGGUAGGGGAGCGUUCUGUAAGCCUGCGAAGGUGGCCUGUGAGGGUUGCUGGAGGUAUCAGAAGUGCGAAUGCUGACAUAAGUAACGAUAAAGCGGGUGAAAAGCCCGCUCGCCGGAAGACCAAGGGUUCCUGUCCAACGUUAAUCGGGGCAGGGUGAGUCGACCCCUAAGGCGAGGCCGAAAGGCGUAGUCGAUGGGAAACGGGUUAAUAUUCCCGUACUUGGUGUUACUGCGAAGGGGGGACGGAGAAGGCUAUGUUGGCCGGGCGACGGUUGUCCCGGUUUAAGCGUGUAGGUGUGUGUUCCAGGUAAAUCCGGUUCACUUUAACACUGAGGCGUGAUGACGAGGCACUACGGUGCUGAAGCAACAAAUGCCCUGCUUCCAGGAAAAGCCUCUAAGCAUCAGGUAACAUCAAAUCGUACCCCAAACCGACACAGGUGGUCAGGUAGAGAAUACCAAGGCGCUUGAGAGAACUCGGGUGAAGGAACUAGGCAAAAUGGUGCCGUAACUUCGGGAGAAGGCACGCUGACACGUAGGUGAAGUGAUUUACUCAUGGAGCUGAAGUCAGUCGAAGAUACCAGCUGGCUGCAACUGUUUAUUAAAAACACAGCACUGUGCAAACACGAAAGUGGACGUAUACGGUGUGACGCCUGCCCGGUGCCGGAAGGUUAAUUGAUGGGGUCAGCGCAAGCGAAGCUCCUGAUCGAAGCCCCGGUAAACGGCGGCCGUAACUAUAACGGUCCUAAGGUAGCGAAAUUCCUUGUCGGGUAAGUUCCGACCUGCACGAAUGGCGUAAUGAUGGCCAGGCUGUCUCCACCCGAGACUCAGUGAAAUUGAACUCGCUGUGAAGAUGCAGUGUACCCGCGGCAAGACGGAAAGACCCCGUGAACCUUUACUAUAGCUUGACACUGAACAUUGAGCCUUGAUGUGUAGGAUAGGUGGGAGGCUUUGAAGUGUGGACGCCAGUCUGCAUGGAGCCGGCCUUGAAAUACCACCCUUUAAUGUUUGAUGUUCUAACGUGGACCCGUGAUCCGGGUUGCGGACAGUGUCUGGUGGGUAGUUUGACUGGGGCGGUCUCCUCCUAAAGAGUAACGGAGGAGCACGAAGGUUGGCUAAUCCUGGUCGGACAUCAGGAGGUUAGUGCAAUGGCAUAAGCCAGCUUGACUGCGAGCGUGACGGCGCGAGCAGGUGCGAAAGCAGGUCAUAGUGAUCCGGUGGUUCUGAAUGGAAGGGCCAUCGCUCAACGGAUAAAAGGUACUCCGGGGAUAACAGGCUGAUACCGCCCAAGAGUUCAUAUCGACGGCGGUGUUUGGCACCUCGAUGUCGGCUCAUCACAUCCUGGGGCUGAAGUAGGUCCCAAGGGUAUGGCUGUUCGCCAUUUAAAGUGGUACGCGAGCUGGGUUUAGAACGUCGUGAGACAGUUCGGUCCCUAUCUGCCGUGGGCGCUGGAGAACUGAGGGGGGCUGCUCCUAGUACGAGAGGACCGGAGUGGACGCAUCACUGGUGUUCGGGUUGUCAUGCCAAUGGCACUGCCCGGUAGCUAAAUGCGGAAGAGAUAAGUGCUGAAAGCAUCUAAGCACGAAACUUGCCCCGAGAUGAGUUCU
rnacentral:rRNA from 1 species